rnacentral:rRNA from 1 species
UACGUAGGCAGCAAGCGUUGUUCGGAAUUACUGGGCGUAAAGAGUGUGUAGGCGGUGCUCUAAGUCCGCUGUGAAAUCUCGAGGCUCGAACUUCGAGCUGUCGGUGGAACUGUCGUGGACUAGAGUCCGGAAGAGGAGAAUGGAAUUCCUGGGUGUAGUCGGUGAAAUGCGCAGAUAAUCAGGAAGAACACCGUGGCGAAGG